rnacentral:rRNA from 1 species
GACGAACGCUGGCGGCGUGCUUAACACAUGCAAGUCGAACGGACAGGCCCUGCUCUUGUGGGGUGCUCGAGUGGCGAACGGGUGAGUAACACGUGAGUAACCUGCCCUCGACUUUGGGAUAACUUCAGGAAACUGGGGCUAAUACCGGAUAGGAGCUCCUGCUGCACGGUGGGGGUUGGAGAGUUUCGGCGGUUGGGGAUGGACGCGCGGCUUAUCAGCUUGUUGGUGGGGUAGUGGCUGACCAAGGCUUUGACGGGUAGCCGGCCUGAGAGGGGGACCGGGCACAUGGGGACUGCGAUACGGCCCAGACGCCUACGGGAGGCAGUAGUGGGGAAUAUGGCACAAUGGGGGGAAGCGUGAUGCAGCAACGCCGCGUGCGGGAUGACGGCCUUCGGGUUGUAAACCGCUUUCGCAUGUGACGAAGCGUGAGUGACGGUAAUGGGUAAAGAAGCACCGGCUAACUACGUG